rnacentral:rRNA from 1 species
AUGGACACGGCGGCCCUUCUGGAGUACGGUGCGGACGAGCCACCCGCUUUCUGCUUCGGCGAGCCGCCGUCGCCGCUGCCUGUCUCGAUCUCUCCCUGCAUCUCCUUUAGAGUUGUACUUGUGCACAUCGAGAAAGUAGCUAAGCUGCCGGGAAGCCGAGGAAGCAUUGAUUGCUGCCAUAUGUGUGAAAGCCUAUCCGAGGCCUUUGCGUUGCUCGGCGAGAUAUUGAAGGAGAUCAAACACGCAUUUACAGAUAUAUAUGAUUUGUAUCACAGGUCUUCAGAUUAUCAACUUCGGUCGUUGGACAAAAUUCCAAUUGCAUCAGAACUUAAUAUCCUUGCCCCCACCAGGCAAGCCACCUCCCGCACACGCGCAGCCCCGCUCCGUCCUCCCCUCGCGGCUUCCUCUGAGCCGCCGCCGCCCGUCCUCCUCCUCUCCUCUGCGCCACCCUGCCCAUCCUCCUCCUCUCCUCUGCGCUGCUGUUGCCCGUCUUCCUCCUCUCAUCUGUGUCGCCGCCGCCCGUCCUCCUCCUCUCCUCUGCGCCGCCCGUCUCUGUCGUCGUUUGGCCUAGAUGCGUUCGGAGUCCGUCGGCGCCGCACGCGGAGGAGACGCGGCGAGGAGGAGCACGAGCCACCUGAGCAGUGGGUCGUCGCGCCGUUGAUGGGAGGAAGCUGGGCAUCAUCCACGGGGAAGCACAAGGCGCUGCGUGUUGGGUCUGUUAUAUGCCGCGUGCUCGGCUGGGAUAUCGAGCGGCUGCCCAGCAUCGUCAUCAACCCCCGGGCAUGCCUCGGACAGGCCUCCUGGCCAGGGAGGGCGAGGGCGCCACCGCUCAGGAGGCAAAGGUUCUCAGGCUAUUUGCUUCUGCAGGUCGCCCACCAACGAGACCGCCUGAGUAGUAAAAUUAUUGAUUGCAGGGGAAUGUUGACACUAGAUAAUGAUGGUGCAGAUGCAGUGAAGGAGGAUGUUGGUAGUAUAAUGAAUGACUUCCCCUUGAGUGGUGGGAAUGCAGCAAAGGGAAGAUCGGUCCUCCAACUAAAGACAAUGGCGGAGAGGUUCAUGAGCAAGGGCAUGAUACAAGAAGUGUUGAAAAGCUCUUGGUACUUCAAAGUUUAUACCGCACUUCACGACAAGGAAAGAAAAGAGAAGAAUGGCUCUGAGGACCAAAAGUCAGAACCGAAAUGGAGCCUCCUCAGGCGUUUGGAUUUUCAGCCGUCGGAUCGGAAUCUCCUCGCGACACAGACUGUCGGAUCUCGAUCCAAAUCGCUGUGGGUCGUUGGAUAUUUACCGGAUCAACUUCGGCCGUCGGAUAAAAUUUCAAUUGCAUCAGAAUCAAGCCACCUCCCGCACACGCGCAGCUCCGCUCCGUCCUCCCCUCGCGGCUUCCCCUCCCGUAACCCUACCUCCUCCUCUCCUCUGAGCCGCCGCCACCCGUCCUCCUCCUCUCCUCUGCGGCACCGCUGCCCAUCCUCCUCCUCUCCUCUGCACUGCCGUUGCCCGUCUUCCUCCUCCUCUGUGUCGCCGCCGCCCGUCCUCCUCCUCUCCUCUGUGCCGCCCGUCUCUGUCGCCGUCUGGCCUAGAUGCGUCCGGAGUCCGUCGGCGCCGCACGCGGAGGAGACGCGGCGAGGAGGAGCACGAGCCAGCGGAGCAGUGGAUCGUCGCGCCGUCGACGGGAGGAAGCUGGGCGUCAUCCACGGGGAAGCACAAGGCGCUGGUGGAUCGGGGUUUCUCGUGACUGGAUCAAGGUCAGAGUGUCAUCGCCGUUGCCCGUCACUGGCCUCGCCUCACCUCAGGUGCCUCCUCAUUGCUCUCUCACUUUUCCCUUUGUUCUUUGCCUCUGAGCGUGUUGGGUCUGUUAUAUGCAGCGUGCUCGGCUGGGACAUCGAGCGGCUGCCCAGCAUCGUCAUCAACCCCCGCGGCAUGCCUCGGACAGGCCUCCUGGCCAGGGAGGGCGAGGGCGCCACCGCUCAGGAGGCAAAGAUAAUGACGGCGCAGAUGCAAAGGUUCUCAAGCUAUUCGCUUCUGCAGGUUGCCCACCAACGAGACCGCCUGAGUAGUAAAAUUAUUGAUUGCGGGGGAAUGUUGACACUAGAUAAUGACGGCGCAGAUGCAGUGAAGGAUGAUGUUGCUGCAGGGAAGAUCGGUCCUCCAAGUAAAGACAAUGGCGGAGAGGUUCAUGAGCAAGGGCAUGAUACAAGAAGUGUUGAAAAGGUUCAAGGGAUCUUCUCCAUAAAUCCAGAGAAUGGCCAAGAAGAGCAUAAAACCUUCUUUCCUUAUGUGGACCAAACCAUAUAUGUUUAUGUUCAUAUUUGUUGCUUCGGUGGUCCUUUCCCUAGCCUUGAGCAGAAGUGCGGCUACAACGACCUCGACCUGGCCAAAGGCUCAAGUACUAGGCACAUCAUGGAAGGGGCAAGAGCCGACGACCCGAUCUACCGCAGUAAUGACGAAGUUUUUCAGGUAGACACUGUCGUAAAUGCCACCGUGCCGGAAAGCCAAGGAUUGAAACCAUGUGCAGUGAACCAUACCUUUGUGAGAGGACCAAGACAAGAGCAAUCUGUUGGUACGACGAAGCCUGCCAUCAGGUAUUACAUAUGUGAGACGACCGAGACUACCACCGCUCCCGGCCAACAAAUGGUGAGAGGAAUGAUCUUGACCAUCAUAUGCUACCAGUUUCCAGUAUUUCUCAGCUCCAUCACAUGGAGAUACCUAGCAAGUAACCUUGAACAAUCAAUCGAUGAUGUGCGCUAA